CCCGGGCGCACGGGUGAGUAACACGUAUGCAAUCCACCUGUAACAGGGGGAGUAACCCGGAGAAAUCCGGACUAAUACCCCAUAAUAUGGGCGCUCCGCAUGGAGAGCCCAUUAAAGAGAGCAAUUUUGGUUACAGACGAGCGUGCGCUCCAUUAGCCAGUUGGCGGGGUAACGGCCCACCAAAGCGACGAUGGAUAGGGGUUCUGAGAGGAAGGUCCCCCACAUUGGAACUGAGACACGGUCCAA
rnacentral:rRNA from 1 species